GAUGAACGCUGGCGGUAUGCCUAACACAUGCAAGUCGUACGAGAGUUUUUAACUCUAGUGGCGGACGGGUGAGUAACACGUGAGAAUUUGCCUUUAGGAGGGGGAUAACAAUUGGAAACGAAUGCUAAUACCCCAUAUGCUUUUGAGUGAAAUGGAUUUUAUCCGCCUAGAGAGAAGCUCGCGGCUGAUUAGCUUGUUGGUAAGGUAAGAGCUUACCAAGGCGACGAUCAGUAUCUGGUUUGAGAGGACGAUCAGACACACUGGAACUGAGACACGGUCCAGACUCCUACGGGAGGCAGCAGUGGGGAAUUUUCCGCAAUGGGCGAAAGCCUGACGGAGCAAUACCGCGUGAGGGAAGAAUGCCUAUGGGUUGUAAACCUCUUUUUCAGGGUAGGAAUAAAAUGACGUGUACCUGAAGAAUAAGCAUCGGCUAACUACCGUG
rnacentral:rRNA from 1 species